rnacentral:tRNA from 1 species
GGGUGAUUAGCUCAGUUGGUUAGAGCACCUGCCUUACAAGCAGGGGGUCGGCGGUUCGAGUCCGUCAUCGCCCACCA